AAUGAACGUUGGCGGCGUGGAUUAGGCAUGCAAGUCGAGCGCUCAUAGCAAUAUGGGAGCGGCGAACGGCGUAGUAAUGCAUCGGAACGUACCCUUCGGUCGGGGAUAGCCACGGGAAACUGUGGGUAAUACCCGAUGAUAUCUGCGGAUCAAAGGUGAGAUUCCGCCGGAGGAGCGGCUGAUGUGAUAUUAGCUUGAUGGUGGGGUAAUGGCCUACCAUGGCGAUGAUGUCUAGGGGGUGUGAGAGCAUGGCCCCCACGACGGAACUGAGACACUGUCCGGACACCUACGGUGGCUGCAGUCGAGAAUCUUCCGCAAUGGACGAAAGUCUGACGGAGCGACGCCGCGUGCGGGAUGAAGGCCCUUGGGUUGUAAACCGCUGUCAGAGGGGAUGAAAUCUCCGGGGGUACUCCCCCGGAGUUGACAGAGCCUUCAAAGGAAGCACGGGUCUAAGUACGUGCCAGCAGCCGC
rnacentral:rRNA from 1 species